CUGAUCGAGACGUUGGGCCAACGCCAGUGCAGCGCGCCCGGUUCCAGAGAAGAAUAUCUCUCCGGAAACGUCGAAGAGUCAG
ncrna:unclassified sequences L4-Archaeoglobi ribosomal protein leader